rnacentral:rRNA from 1 species
GAUGAACGCUGGCGGCGUGCCUAAUACAUGCAAGUCGAGCGAAUGGAUUAAGAGCUUCUCUUAUGAAGUUAGCGGCGGACGGGUGAGUAACACGUGGGUAACCUGCCCAUAAGACUGGGAUAACUCCGGGAAACCGGGGCUAAUACCGGAUAACAUUUUGAACCGCAUGGUUCGAAAUUGAAAGGCGGCUUCGGCUGUCACUUAUGGAUGGACCCGCGUCGCAUUAGCUAGUUGGUGAGGUAACGGCUCACCAAGGCAACGAUGCGUAGCCGACCUGAGAGGGUGAUCGGCCACACUGGGACUGAGACACGGCCCAGACGCCUACGGGAGGCAGCAGUAGGGAAUCUUCCGCAAUGGACGAAAGUCUGACGGAGCAACGCCGCGUGAGUGAUGUAGGCUUUCGGGUCGUAAAACUCUGUUGUUAGGGAAGAACAGGUGCUAGUUGAAUAAGCUGGCACCUUGACGGUACCUAACCAGAAAGCCACGGCUAACUACGUGCCAGCAGCCGCAGUAA